GAUGAACGCUGGCGGCGUGCCUAACACAUGCAAGUCGAACGGAGUCCAGCCUUUAAGACCUUCGGGUCAAAGAGGGGAAGACUGAGUGGCGGACGGGUGAGUAACACGUGGGCAACCUGGCUCAUAGAGGGGGAUAACAGAGAGAAAUUUCUGCUAAUACCGCAUAAGCACACACUGCCGCAUGGCAGAGGGUGAAAAGAGAAUCGCUAUGAGAUGGACCCGCGUCUGAUUAGCCAGUUGGCAGGGUAAGAGCCUACCAAAGCGACGAUCAGUAGCUGAGCGGAGAGGAUGAACCGCCACAUUGGGACUGAGACACGGCCCAAACCGCGACGGGAGGCAGGAGUGGGGGAUAUUGCAGAAUGGGGGGAACCCUGAUGCAGCGACGCCGCGUGAGUGAAGAAGUAUUUCGGUAUGUAAAGCUCUAUCAGCAGGGAAGAUAAUGACAGUACCUGAAUAAGAAGCCCCGGCUAACUACGUG
rnacentral:rRNA from 1 species